rnacentral:rRNA from 1 species
AUACGGAGGGUGCAAGCGUUAUCCGGAUUUAUUGGGUUUAAAGGGUGCGCAGGCGGAUAAUUAAGUCAGUGGUGAAAUCCUCCCGCUCAACGGGAGAACUGCCAUUGAUACUGAUAGUCUGGAAUACGGUUGAAGUGGGCGGAAUGUAGCAUGUAGCGGUGAAAUGCAUAGAGAUGCUACAGAACACCGAUCGCGAAGGCAGCUCACUAAGCCGAUAUUGACGCUCAGGCACGAAAGCGUGGGUAGCGAACAGGAUUAGAAACCCCGGUAGUCC